rnacentral:rRNA from 1 species
GUGAGGAAUUUUCCGCAAUGGGCGAAAGCCUGACGGAGCGACGCCGUGUGUGCGAUGAAGUCUUUCGGGAUGUAAAGCACUGUCGGAGGGGAAGAUAUUGACGGUACCCUCAAAGGAAGGCCCGGCUAACUACGUGCCAGCAGCCGCGGUAAUACGUAGGGGCCAAGCGUUGUCCGGAAUCAUUGGGCGUAAAGGGUGCGUAGGCGGUUUGGUAAGUCAGCUGUUAAAUCUACAGGCUCAACCUGUAGCUGCAAUUGAUACUGCCAAGCUAGAGAGUGGUAGAGGAAAUUGGAACUUACGGUGUAGCGGUGAAAUGCGUAGAUAUCGUAAGGAACACCAGUGGCGAAGGCGGAUUUCUGGGCCACUUCUGACGCUGAGGCACGAAAGCUAGGGGAGCAAACGGGAUUAGAUACCCGAGUAGUCC